UUUAGGCAAAAAUUCAAAUUUCCACUUCACUAUUAUUAAAGUUCGUAAAAGUUUGAAAAGUUCAAGAAGUGGAAUUCUCCACAUCAAACAAAAACUAAAGAUCUAUCCCAUAACAAGGAUGUGAGAAAGCAAUAGAAAAUGACUAUUCACCAUAACAAGGAUCCUCCUGUAAACAAUUGAAAGAUCUAUCCCAAACCAAAUACCAAACCAUAAAAUUUUGCAUCAUUGUUACUUAUGCAUGUACUAAAUACCAAACCAAAACUAAGAAUCUUCUCAGUCGCCAAACUAGUACUUCAGUGACCACCAUGACGGAUGGCUUGAAAAUAGUGACAAAAUAAGACAAGACUAUCAGUGACCACCGAUCUUGCAGCCUCACGCUUCAUCUCAGCAGCUUUGCCACUGCCUCAGAAAUGCAUAUAAACUUGCUGCACACCACAGGAAGAACAAAGAGGCUCAUAAAAAAACUAGAAACACAAAGGAGGAGCAGGGGAUAAAAACAUGAACAAACUAAAUAGUAAGAAUCCUCUACCUGAAUAACCCAGAUGCUGAUCAAUGAUUCAAGGGCAAAAAAUCCAAAUUCAAUAAAGUAAAAAAUCUGCAAGUGAAAACAAUUGUCAAUAUAACAAUUGUCAUUUAGUUCUAGGAAUUCACUUUCUUAAUUAGAAUAAAAGGAACAUAAAGGAACAAACUGAAGCUACAUUGGAAAAAAAAACAUUAGUACAUUUAGUCUUUGCUACUUUUAUCUGAAAAUCCAGGCCACUUCCUUGCUAUUUGACAAGAUUUGGUACAUUGCUUUUCAAAAUUGAAAGUGGACUCACAUUUUGGGGACAGAGGGAGUAUUAGUUUCAAAUGUUGAGGAAGUAUGGUCAUCCAAAAGAGGCAAUGUAAAUAUUACGAUACUACCAAACUGAAGAAAGAGAAAACUAAUCAAAGUGUGGACACAUAACUUUUAACUUUUAACAAUAACUGCAAUAUAGAAAAUAUAGUUUAUAUAAUCUAUUAUUUCAAGAAUUUAUGUACCUGUAAUAUAGAAAAUAUUAUACUUUCACAGUCAGGUAACACCUCUAUUUUUAUCCGCUCCUAUUGUUUGUGUCAGUUUUGCUAACAGGGCGUAAGUUGAAGGCAUUCUUUGACUUGCUUAUUGAACAUCCUGACCGUGCAAGAACCACAAAUUUAGUCUCUCCAUUUUCUCCUUUUUCUGUAGAUCUUAUUUUCACCGAAAAUCCAUUUUGAUUACCAUAAUUAGUGUAAUAUUCCAUGUAUAAAUUAACGGAAUCAAAUUCCAUUCCGACUUCCGGAUCUCUAAUCACUUCAUCAACUUCUUCACUUUCUACUAAAUCCUCCGCCAUAACACAUUCUUUAAUAUCAUUAAUUCUCAUACUUGAUUGAAACUCAUCACUACAUGCCAUUUCUGCAAAUUUAUAAAAAUAUAUUAACUACAUGCCAUAGAUAUAUAAAAAAAGUUCCCUCUUUUUCAUUUUUUUAAUGUAGCCUUAUCAAUCAAAAAUGAUGGUUAAUAUUGCUUAAAAAUGAUGUUUUUACCCCGACUGUUGAUAUUUGUACGCAUUUCUAGUUCUAAAAAAUACUUAUUAUUUUGUAAAGAAAAUUCUCAUAUUUUGCCCAUUCACAGUAGUACGAGUAUAUAUCAACAUGAAGAUUGAAAAGUUAUCUCGAAAUUUCUUUUCUUGUUUUGAUUUAACAAAAACGAAAGACAAAAUAAAAAAAAACAUAAUUAGCAACAAAAAAAUUAAUAAACCUUAGCAUUAGAGAAAUCUUAGCAUUAGAGAAAACAACUAUCAUUGUAGUCCAGGACAUAACAUUUCUUUCACGCAUUUUAUCAAAUAGUUCUUGAGCAUCAUGUAAAAGCUGAUGAGAAAAAAGUAUUUACAAAAUAUGAGCUUGGCAAUUAAAUCCCUUCCUUUUCAAUUCUCAAAGAGUUUGCACAAAAUUUUCACUCAAAAUAAGAGUAUGCCCAAAUUAAUUUUAGGGUUUUGGGAAUUUAGGCGCAUGAGAGAGUAAUGGUAGGAAGAGGAGGAUGCGAAAUAGGAAGAUGAUACCUUGAAAGCCAAUGUUAUUUCACGAGGAAGCUUGUUCAGCAAAGCUUGGAGUUCAGUUUGGAGACUGGCAUGAGAGAGGAAGGAAGAUAAUAUUGAGAUACAUCGCUGUUUGGCAAAGUGAGAAGAGGAGCUUCCUCUGUUCCGGGCUCUUACUUUUUUUUUUUUCUACUUCCUCUCUCAUACUGAUGUAGCACAGCCACAUCAGCCGGUCAUUAGAAAUGUCCCUAAACCCCGGUCCCCCUAGAAUUAUUGAAAUAAAUAUGGGAGUGAAUUAAUUGUAUAAAAUUUUUAUGAGGACACUAUUAUUAUAAU
rnacentral:lncRNA from 1 species